rnacentral:rRNA from 1 species
UACGUAGGCAGCAAGCGUUGUUCGGAAUCACUGGGCUUAAAGGGCGCGUAGGCGGGCGAUCAAGUCAGGGGUGAAAGCCCCCAGCUCAACUGGGGGAAGUGCCUCUGAUACUGGUCAUCUCGAGGGAGGUAGGGGCGUGCGGAACUUCCGGUGGAGCGGUGAAAUGCGUAGAUAUCGGAAGGAACACCGGUGGCGAAAGCGGCGCGCUGGACCUCUUCUGACGCUGAGGCGCGAAAGCCAGGGGAGCGAACGGG